rnacentral:rRNA from 1 species
AACGAACGCUGGCGGCAUGCCUAACACAUGCAAGUCGAACGAGACCUUCGGGUCUAGUGGCGCACGGGUGCGUAACGCGUGGGAACCUGCCCUUAGGUUCGGAAUAACUCCCCGAAAGGGGUGCUAAUACCGGAUAAUUUCUUCGGACCAAAGAUUUAUCGCCUUUGGAUGGGCCCGCGUUGGAUUAGCUAGUUGGUAGGGUAAAAGCCUACCAAGGCGACGAUCCAUAGCUGGUCUGAGAGGAUGAUCAGCCACACUGGGACUGAGACACGGCCCAGACUCCUACGGGAGGCAGCAGUGGGGAAUAUUGGACAAUGGGCGAGAGCCUGAUACAGCAAUGCCGCGUGAGUGAUGAAGGCCUUAGGGUUGUAAAGCUCUUUUACCCGGGAUGAUAAUGACAGUACCGGGAGAAUAAGCUCCGGCUAACUCCGUG